AUGUGGGGAUUUGGGGAUUUCUCCACUCGCGAGCAGUUGUGCGCCAACUGCUCAUCUCUGAUGGCUGAGGAGAAGGAGGGCCCUGCAGAUGCAGCCGUCGUCGCCAACCCCCUCCACGACGACGACAUCCUCAGGGAGAUCCUGCUCCGCCUCCCGUCGGCGGCAUCCCUUGCCCAAGCCGCGCUCGUCUCCGGCCGCUGGCGCCGCAUCGCCUCCGACUCCAAGUUCCUCUGCCGCUUCCGCGAGCGCCAUCCGUCGUCGCCCCUCGUCGGCCUCUUCGCCUCCGAUGACGGCCGCGGCUGCGCGCCGUGGCCCCAUUUCUACCCAGCCCUCUCCGGCCGGGGUUCCGACCCGGACAUCACCGCCGUCACGCGCAAAGGCGACUUCUUCCUCACCCGCUUCGACGGCGAGCCGAGCCUGCGCCUCCGGGACUGCCGCAAUGGCCUCCUCCUCCUCUCCCUGGAGGAUAGUUCCCUCUGCAUCUACGACCCUGUCUCCAAGCGGCGAGUGGGUAUUCCCCGCCGCCCACAUGAUGGCACGGCGGGCAGCCAAUGCUUGGCGGAUUGCUUGCUCGACGCCGGCCGUGGCACUGGCACGUCCUCCACCGUGCGGCAAUGUGGCCAAAGGAUGAUGCCACAAGCCAUGGAGUCCUUCCGUGUGGUGUCCCUGCAGCAGCAAAGCCAGGAGAUACGAGCCCUUGUGUACGACUCCAACACUCUCGAGUGGCACCACCACCCGUGGGUGAGUCCGCCGACGGACGGCAUAAAAAGGCUGCCGAAAUGGGGCACGACGGCGAUGUACGCAGCCGGCAACGUCUUCUGGAGGUGCGCCCAACAAUCUUUGGUGCUCGUGCUUGAGACGAGCACCAUGGAGUUCUCGUUGCGCCCUCUCCCGCCGGACUUGAGCUUUCAUGUGCCUUCAAGAUACGCCAUCGGAGAGAUCGAGGACGGCAAGGGCUGCCUCGUGUGCCUUACAGGCCUGACUGGCGAGGAAACCCCCACCUUGGAAGUUUGGGUACUCGAUACCAACAUGUGGAAGCUCCACUCAUCAUUGAACAACAAAUUGUGGAAGCUUGACUCAUCGGAAAAAUGGUGGAGGCUCGAGAAGAAAAUCCCUGUGAGCCAACUGCUUGGCGAAUCUGCUCGGGUGCGUCAAGUUCGCAUGGUGAUCAAUGGACUAGCGCUACUUUGCAAGGACGACCAUGACCCUCAGUUUGUGGUCGACUUGCAGAGCAUGGCUCUGCUGGCCAAGUUUCAGUUUCGGGGAUACCCGUACCAGAUGUCAUGGCCGCCUGCUGGGUUGGCCACAACUAAUUCCAGAUCCACGUCUUCUCUGGAAGAUACCAACAUAUUGCACCAGUUUUACCUGAAGGGGAACUGA
rnacentral:rRNA from 1 species